GCUCCCUACCUACCCCCCUCACCCUAAAAAUAAUGAGGGGGGGACCUUUAACUAAAAACCUGUUAAAAAAAAAUUAGAUAAAAAUAACUUACCAUAUGAUGUUUUCUUUCUUCUACAAUCUUCUUUUUUCAGCCCCAAAAAAGGCCAAAUAAAAACCCAUAAGAACCGACGCAAUUAAAAAAAAAACAAAAAAAAAAACGAGCGCACAAAAAAAUAAUCCAUCUUCACCCAUGGAGGGCUCCGCGCAGACUGAGCUCUGCAGGGCGGGGGAAGGCUUAUAAAGCCUUGCCACACCCUGCAAUUAGGCUAAAAACACUCUGAUUGGCGGUAUUGCGAGUAGGGGCACAAUUUACUAAUACUAAGUAAUUUUUACUUAGUAUUAGUAAAUUAAUAGGGGGCUGAUCGAACCGCGCAUAUGUUCGCCGUCCGUGGCGAACGCGAACACGCUAUGUUCGCCAGGAACUAUUCGCUGGCGAACCGUUCGGGACAUCACUAGAUACCAAUAUUUUUAUUUCUUAUUUUCUUGACUAGCAAUAGUUCUCUGGGUAGUGAUUUCGCCCUGUUCUUAUAAUCAAUCAGAACCUCAGUCUCGUAUCCCCUAGUGGAAAAAGCUCUUAUCAGAUUCUCAGCACGUCUGUCAUAGUCAUUGUCUUCAGACACAGUGCGUCUUGUCCUGACAAAUUGUCCAUAUGGUAAAUGUUUGAUGAAGUGUGGUGGGUGGAAGGAACUAGCAUGUAAAUAGGAAGCCCGAUCUGUCGGUUUUUGGUAAAGAUCAAACACUAUACACCCAUCACUCUCCUCCAGUGAGACAUCCAAAAAAUGCAUCCUAUGGGCAUCAUAUUCUACAGUGAAUGAUAU